AGAAUAUCAAUAUAACUUCCAUUUCUCUUAUACUAUUGUGUAAAAUAAUGUUGAAUAUGAGCGUGAAUGUCUUUGGCUUUAGACAGAGACUUCCCAUGAUCGUCUUGAAGGUGAGAUAUUCUGUUGUAGUGUCUUCUCUGUCUUGUUUUGCUGUGAAUUUUUUUUUGUAUUUUUAUCUCCUGUUUUAAGCCAAAAAACCCUACUCUUUCUUCUCCAAUAUUCCUCCUCUAGUCUGUAUUGUAAUUGAAGAUGCACCUUCAGACCUGAGAGAUAAACAUAAUCAAUGGCAGGCGAAGUAUAAGCAAACUGGAUUUUAUCUUUUAGUUCUUGAAUGAGCUUUCCUGAAUUGGUAGAUUGUUUACUUCUCCAUCGGGAUAAAACUUUUCUGCACUGUCGUAUGAGAUAGUGUAUAUCACCAUUGGAUAGAUUAGCAGACUCUUGUGCACACGCCUAUUUCACAGCUUCAAACAGACCAGGGUAAAGUCUUCAUCUGCUAUCAUAUCUGAAAAGUUUAGAUUUCUUCCAAUUAUUUCCUUCUGUAUUGAGAAGUAAGGGUCUAUGGUCUGAUCCAAUCCAGAGUAAGAGCGUAACUGAUGCCAUUGGAUACAUAUCUAUCCAAUCACAGUUUGCAGUAGCUCUAUCUAGCUUAGACAUUAUGGUGUACUUGGAUAUCUUCCCAACCCAAGUAUAUUUCCCUCCCACUGAUUUGAUAUCAUUCAUUCCUAGGGUUGAAAGCAUGCGUCUGAAUAACGAGUAAGAAGCUACUGACCUAAUGAUGCCCCCUUGUUUUUCUUCUCCUCCUUUGAUGUCGUUGAAGUCGCCUAUCAUCAAUCGGGGCUUGUUCUGCAGAAAUCCUGCAUACUCAAAUUCAAUUUUAUCGCACCAUUGCUUCUGUAUGUACUUUAUAACUGGGUUUCCAUAUAUAUAAGUCAACCAAAAGGUGUUGGUGCCAUCUUCUACACACAUAUUUGUACAAUACAAAGUAUGGUCAUUCAAAAAAGAUAUCUUGACCC
rnacentral:lncRNA from 1 species